GAGAUCUUAGUUAAAGUAUAACACUACUUUGUCAAGGUAGGAUUACUAGUUAAACCCUAGUAUUUCUCU
rnacentral:tRNA from 1 species